rnacentral:rRNA from 1 species
UACGUAGGGUGCGAGCGUUGCCCGGAUUUAUUGGGCGUAAAGGGCGCGCAGGCGGCACGGCACGUCCGUUGUGAAAGCUCCCGGCUCAACUGGGAGAGGUCAGCGGAUACGGCCGCGCUCGAGCCCGUAGGGGGUCGUGGAAUUCCCGGUGUAGUGGUGGAAUGCGUAGAUAUCGGGAGGAACACCAGUGGCGAAGGCGGCGACCUGGACCGGAGCUGACGCUGAGGCGCGAAAGCGUGGGGAGCGAUCCGG